GUGCCAGCCGCCGCGGUAAUACGGAGGAUCCGAGCGUUAUCCGGAUUUAUUGGGCGUAAAGCGUCCGCAGGUGGUUCAGCAAGUCUGCUGUCAAAGCGCGAAGCUCAACUUCGUAUAGGCCGUGGAAACUGCUGAACUUGAGUGUGAUAGGGGCAGAGGGAAUUCCCAGUGUAGCGGUGAAAUGCGUAGAGAUUGGGAAGAACACCGGUGGCGAAAGCGCUCUGCUAGGCCGAAACUGACACUGAGGGACGAAAGCUAGGGGAGCGAAAGGGAUUAGAUACCCCUGUAGUCCUAGCUGUAAACGAUGGAGACUAGGUGUGGCCUGUAUCGACCCGGGCCGUGCCGGAGCUAACGCGUUAAGUCUCCCGCCUGGGGAGUACGCACGCAAGUGUGAAACUCAAAUGAAUUGACGGGG
rnacentral:rRNA from 1 species